GCGGCGGUAGUUCAGUUGGCAGAACGUCUCCCUUCCAAGGAGAAGGUCGCCGGUUCGAAUCCGGUCCGCCGCUCCA
rnacentral:tRNA from 7 species